rnacentral:rRNA from 1 species
CACAUGACUCUCAGCAACGGAUAUCUCGGCUCUCGCAUCGAUGAAGAACGUAGCAAAAUGCGAUACCUGGUGUGAAUUGCAGAAUCCCGCGAACCAUCGAGUUUUUGAACGCAAGUUGCGCCCGAGGCCUUCUGGUUGAGGGCACGCCUGCCUGGGCGUCAUGC